AAACGUUAUCCUUAGUUGGCUGCGAGAUGAACGAUGAUGCAUGGCCGAGACACAUAAGUUCAACUGUACAUUUUAAGUGAAUGAAACGUAUAAACGUGCACGAAUAUGCGUCGUAAAAUUGUAUUAACGGCCAGGUGCACUUUUACGGAUCGAUGAAGAUUGUUUCAGUGUUGUUUGAAAGAAACGUAAAAGGAAGAACGUGGUUUAUCCGUUUAAUUCGCUUUUGGAAGGAAGGAGAAAUGUUUCGUAAUGCACGACAACUGAGAUAGUUUAUAAUUUAAUAUUAGAAGUA